rnacentral:rRNA from 1 species
GACGAACGCUGGCGGCGUGCUUAACACAUGCAAGUCGAACGGAAAGGCCCUGCUUUUGUGGGGUGCUCGAGUGGCGAACGGGUGAGUAACACGUUAGUAACCUGCCCUUGACUUUGGGAUAACUUCAGGAAACUGGGGCUAAUACCGGAUAGGAGCUCCUGCUGCAUGGUGGGGGUUGGAAAGUUUCGGCGGUUGGGGAUGGACUCGCGGCUUAUCAGCUUGUUGGUGGGGUAGUGGCUUACCAAGGCUUUGACGGGUAGCCGGCCUGAGAGGGUGACCGGCCACAUUGGGACUGAGAUACGGCCCAGACUCAUACGGGAGGCAGCAGGGGGGAAUAUUGCACAAUGGGCGGAAGCCUGAUGCAGCAACGCCGCGUGCGGGAUGACGGCCUUCGGGUUGUAAACCGCUUUCGCCUGUGACGAAGCGUGAGUGACGGUAAUGGGUAAAGAAGCACCGGCUAACUACGUG